UACGGGGGGGGCAAGCGUUGUUCGGAAUUACUGGGCGUAAAGGGCUCGUAGGCGGCCAACUAAGUCGGACGUGAAAUCCCCAGGCUCAACCUGGGAACUGCGUCCGAUACUGGAUGGCUUGAAUCCGGGAGAGGGAUGCAGAAUUCCAGGUGUAGCGGUGAAAUGCGUAGAUAUCUGGAGGAACACCGGUGGCGAAGGCGGUUCUCUGGGCCUUACCUGACGCUGAGGAGCGAAAGCGUGGGGAGCGAACAGG
rnacentral:rRNA from 1 species